AGCAGCCGCGGUAAUUCCAGCUCCAAUAGCGUAUAUUAAAGUUGUUGCAGUUAAAAAGCUCGUAGUUGAAUUUUGGAUUCUUCCAAUUGGUCCAUCUUUUAGAUGAGUACUGGUUGUGUGGGGUCUAUCCGCCUGGUGAUACGUAAUGUCCUUUAUUGGAUGUUUCGGGUAGUCAGGACCUUUACCUUGAAAAAUUAGAGUGUUUAAAGCAGGCUUAUGCCGGAAUACAUUAGCAUGGAAUAAUAGAAUAGGACGAAGUUGUUUUAUUUUGUUGGUUUCUAGGACAACCGUAAUGAUUAAUAGGGAUAGUUGGGGGCAUUAGUAUUCAAUUGUCAGAGGUGAAAUUCUUGGAUUUAUUGAAGACUAACUACUGCGAAAGCAUUUGCCAAGGAUGUUUUCAUUAAUCAAGAACGAAAGUUAGGGGAUCGAAGACGAUCAGAUACCGUCGUAGUCUUAACCAUAAACUAUGCCGACUAGGGAUCGGGCGAUGUUGUUUCCAUGACUCGCUCGGCACCUUAUG
rnacentral:rRNA from 1 species